CCAGACUCCUACGGGAGGCAGCAGUGAGGAAUAUUGGUCAAUGGGCGAGAGCCUGAACCAGCCAAGCCGCGUGAAGGACGAAGGUGCCAAGCAUUGUAAACUUCUUUUGUCAAGGGACAAAAUCAGGCUCGAGAGCCUGACCGAGGGUACUUGAAGAAAAAGCAUCGGCUAACUCCGUGCCAGCAGCCGCGGUAAUACGGAGGAUGCGAGCGUUAUCCGGAUUUAUUGGGUUUAAAGGGUGCGUAGGCGGAUCGUUAAGUCUGUGGAAAAAUGGGGGGGCUCACCCCCUUCCCGCCAUUGAAACUGGCGCUCUUGAGUGGAAGAGAAGUAUGCGGAAUGCGUGGUGUAGCGGUGAAAUGCAUAGAUAUCACGCAGAACCCCGAUUGCGAAGGCAGCAUGCCGGCUUCCGACUGACGCUGAAGCACGAAAGCGUGGGGAUCGAACAGGAUUAGAUACCCUCGUAUA
rnacentral:rRNA from 1 species